ensembl:lncRNA
CACAAUCACCAAGUGCCUUGCUUCCAGAGGGUUGAUCUCCUUCUCAAGCAGCUGUUUGACAGAAAACUGAGCACCUGACAAGAGGAAGAGCUGAAGGACAGAAUUUCCAGUGAGAUUCUCAGUUAUGGCUCUAAUUUCUACUGCAGCUAAAAGUGAGCACAGUUAGCAGGUGCUCUGUGUUACAUCAUCUGGAGGCAGAGAGCAUGGGAGGUCAUCUCUGUGUCUGCAUAGCACCUGUGCUCACACUAGCAUCUAAUUAUCCAGAAUCAGACUUGAAUCUGACUUGGAAUCUGUUCCUUCUUGGAAGUUUUUCUCACUCGCACAUAAUUAUUGAGCUAGUGGAGCAAUUCUAUGCACUGAAUGGAUUUCUCAGAGUGCCACGCUGAAGCAGAAACAGAAGGAUGAAAGCUGCAGGAGCCACAGAAAUCAAGCAUUCUUCUGGUGAAGCUUUCUAAGAUCAGAAGUGCCAAUGAAAUCAAGGACGACAAAUGAACGAUGUGUUAAAACAGGUGUGGCAGUGGAGAAAGGAGCCCUUGUGGUCACUGCUGCCCACAGACUGGCACUGGGUGCGUGCAUACUGACAGUCACAGACUCCACUGUAGUUUGAGCAUCCGAAGAGCAUAAAGCCUGGGUGGCUAUGAAUGACUUCCAUGUGUCAUUUGAAUGAAGGUAUUUUGAAGACUGGCUAUUGACACCUGAAACAAUUACUAUUCUGCUCGUGGAUUUGACACCUCAGACUAGUUAAUCACCAGAGGGGCUUCACAUGCCAUCAGAAGGUGAGAGCUUUCACUAUAGAAAUACCAAAGUCCUGACACCAGCUUGUGGCAGAGGGCAGUAAUGGUGUUCAUUUGCACUUAGAAUAUUUGCAUGCAGUGGUGUUUGUAAUGUAUCCUGAGGGCAAGGUGGACCUUCAAAUCCAAACUCAUCUCCUGCAGCCAAGGCCACUUGGGAAAAGCCCUUGGGAAAAGCAGUCACAGUGGCAAGGAUGCCUAGACAUGUGUAAAUAGGGAGUUCCUGCAUUGUGCUGGAGGCAAGCUGUAGAGCAGUGAGCUGCUGUGGCAUAAAACACCAAAAUGUUGGCUCUUGGCUCCAUGAAGUGGCCAACAUCAGCAUCAGUAACUGGGUGGCUAAUUAGAGGUAACUGUCUACUUGGAAGAACUUUCUUCAUGUCUCAUUUUGAACCAUUGGUAGCUCCCUGAGUGUGGUGGUCUAGGAAGUAAUUAACAUGCUUUUAGCCUCAGGGUUACUUGUGGCUGGAUUCAUAAACAUAGAUACUGUGGUACGUAACUAAUUUUUGAUUUACAAGGUACCAACAAUUUGAUUUAAGAAAUUGCCGGAGUUAAUCUUGAUUUUAUGCACUGUAAAUGUUUCAUAUACUAUAAACUUUCCUGUAAACAUAAAUUGUCAGCAGAAAAAAAUCUAGGAAGCCUUCUUUCACUUUUUUUAUUAGUUCUAUUUCAGGAGCAGAGGCUCUGCACUAUGAAUAGCUUUGGCAAGCAUAUUCCCUUAGCUCCUACCUGUUCAAGCACAGCAAAUUUCUAUUCUUAACUCCUGAUUUUUGCUUGUCCCUCUACUGCAAUUUCAUUUUUUAUUUACAAAGCCUUCCAC